UUGGCACGGGCACUGGCGGCCAAGGCCACGCAACCAGACUCACAGCGGCUCUCUCAUCUGUUCCGCCUGCGUCCUCAUCAACACAAAACAGGUGGCACCAGCAAGCCAGCUGUUGUGUAAAAUGAUUGUCAAGACCUGACUUGCAACUGAAAAACAAACAUUAUCGAUAGUCUGUGCACCCGAAGGGAGACUGAUGAGGAUUGGCAGUACAUUACAGAUGGUUGAAUCAACAUGAGCACAACCUUGCGAGAAGUGGCCACGGUGGGAGAAGAUGCCACCCUGGACGCAGCCUGACAGCAGAACACUCCAGGCACACAAAACAAGAUGGCUCUUCAGAGACCGCAUGGAGCCUCCCGUCUGAUUACAGCCACUGACCUAGAUGUCUGGGAAAGGCAAACAAUCAGGUGUUGACUUCUUUAAAAAAACAAAAACAAAGAAAGACAGAAUGCAAGUGGGGAGCGAGGAGAGGCAGCUUCAGGUCCUCAUGGUUGGCACGGUAACUGCUAUUGGAUUGGACAUGCUAAUUUCCAUUCCAAAUCAGUGUAGACGUACUCCCAACACACAGACACAACCCAGGUGAUACAAAUCAGCCAUUAUAACAAAGUACAAAGAUGAUGAAUUGUGUGAAUUUGCACUCUCUUAAUGAUGGGGACUGCAUGUUUAAG